UGAGUGAGUGAGUGACGCACUCAGCAUUAUUCCAUCUAUAUUGCGGGGUAUGUAUAUAAUCGAGUCUGGAUCAGACACUCCAGUGAUCAACAUCAUGAGCAUC